rnacentral:rRNA from 1 species
UACGUAGGGACCAAGCGUUGUUCGGAUUUACUGGGCGUAAAGCGCACGUAGGCGGCUUUGUAAGUUAGAGGUGAAAGCCUGGGGCUCAACUCCAGAAUUGCCUUUAAGACUGCAUCGCUUGAACGUCGGAGAGGUGAGUGGAAUUCCGAGUGUAGAGGUGAAAUUCGUAGAUAUUCGGAAGAACACCAGUGGCGAAGGCGGCUCACUGGACGACUGUUGACGCUGAGGUGCGAAAGCGUGGGGAGCAAACAGG